AUGUAUUCGAUGACGGGACAAGUACGACAAGGUAACGUUCUCCAGAGAGUCGGUGAUUGCUGAGAGCCGAUUGUUCGAACCCUGCCGGAAGAUCUUCCCCUAGAAGUUAAGCUGAAGCGUUGAUCGUGCGUAAGCUUAGCCGUCCGCCGGACGUUACACCGGACCUGUGCAUGAGAUUUACGCGCAGGACUGAGAUUGUGCUGAAUACACUCCCCUUAAGGAUGUGCUCAUGCGCAGAAUUAGGGUGGUAUCGCGAGCGUUGUCUCGCCCCUUUG
rnacentral:ncRNA from 1 species